rnacentral:rRNA from 1 species
CACGUAGGGGGCGAGCGUUGUCCGGAUUUAUUGGGCGUAAAGAGCUCGUAGGCGGCUCAGUAAGUCAGGUGUGAAAACUCCAGGCUCAACCUGGAGACGCCACCUGAUACUGCUGUGGCUAGAGUCCGGUAGGGGAGCAUGGAAUUCCUGGUGUAGCGGUGAAAUGCGCCAGAUAUCGGGAGGAACACCCGUAGCGAAGGCGGCACUCUGGGCCGGUACUGACGCGUGAGGAGCGAAAGCGUGGGGAGCAAACAGG